ACCAACCUUCAUGAAUCGAUGAAGUAUACAGUUUCCUAAGCGUUGCCACUCAAUGUUAAUACAUUUGCAUAAAUUUUACCCCUAGGUAGUAAGUUUGGCCUAAGGAUGCUGUCGACUUUUUCCACCAACCUUCAUGAAUCGAUGAAAUAUACAGUUUUCUAAGCGUUGCCACUCAAUGUCAAUACAUUUGCAUCAAUUUUAUCUUCAAGUAGUAAGUUUGGCCUAAGAAUGCUGUCGACUCCUUCCACCAACCUUCAUGAAUCGAUCAAUUCUACAGUUUUCUAAGAGUUGCCUCUCAAAGUCAAUACAUUUGCAUUAAUUUUAUCCCAAAGUAGUAAGUUUGGCCUAAGAAUGCUGUCGACUCCUUCCACCAACCUUCAUGAAUCAAUGAAGUAUACCGUUUUCUAAGCGUUGCCACUCAAUGUUAAUACAUUUGCCUAAAUUUUACCCCUAAGUAGUAAGUUUGGCCUAAGGAUGCUGUCGACUUUUUCACCAACCUUCAUGAAUCGAUGAAAUAUACAGUUUUCUAAGCGUUGCCACUCAAUGUCAAUACAUUUGCAUCAAUUUUAUCUUCAAUUAGUAAGGUUGGCCUAAGAAUGCUGUCGACUCCUUCCACCAACCUUCAUGAAUCGAUCAAUUCUACAGUUUUCUAAGAGUUGCCUCUCAAAGUCAAUAUAUUUGCAUAAAUUUUACCCCUAAGUAGUAAGUUUGGCCUAAGAAUGCUGUCGACUCCUUCCACCAACCUUCAUGAAUCGAUCAAUUCUACAGUUUUCUAAGAGUUGCCUCUCAAAGUCAAUACAUUUGCAUAAAUUUUACCCCUAGGUAGUAAGUUUGGCCUAAGGAUGCUGUCGACUCCUUCCACCAACCUUCAUGAAUCGAUGAAGUAUACAGUUUUCUAAGCGUUGCCACUCAAUGUUAAUACAUUUGCAUAAAUUUUACCCCUAGGUAGUAAGUUUGGCCUAAGGAUGCUGUCGACUUUUUCCACCAACCUUCAUGAAUCGAUCAAUUCUACAGUUUUUUAAGAGUUGCCUCUCAAAGUCAAUACAUUUGCAUAAAUUUUACCCCUAGGUAGUAAGUUUGGCCUAAGGAUGCUGUCGACUUUUUCCACCAACCUUCAUGAAUCGAUGAAAUAUACAGUUUUCUAAGCGUUGCCACUCAAUGUCAAUACAUUUGCAUCAAUUUUAUCUUCAAGUAGUAAGUUUGGCCUAAGAAUGCUGUCGACUCCUUCCACCAACCUUCAUGAAUCGAUCAAUUCUACAGUUUUCUAAGAGUUGCCUCCCAAAGUCAAUAUAUUUGCAUUAAUUUUAUCCCAAAGUAGUAAGUUUGGCCUAAGAAUGCUGUCGACUCCUUCCACCAACCUUCAUGAAUCGAUGAAGUAUACAGUUUUCUAAGCGUUGCCACUCAAUGUUAAUACAUUUGCAUAAAUUUUACCCCUAGGUAGUAAGUUUGGCCUAAGGAUGCUGUCGACUUUUUCCACCAACCUUCAUGAAUCGAUCAAUUCUACAGUUUUCUAAGAGUUGCCUCUCAAAGUCAAUACAUUUGCAUAAAUUUUACCCCUAGGUAGUAAGUUUGGCCUAAGGAUGCUGUCGACUCCUUCCACCAACCUUCAUGAAUCGAUGAAGUAUACAGUUUUCUAAGCGUUGCCACUCAAUGUUAAUACAUUUGCAUAAAUUUUACCCCUAGGUAGUAAGUUUGGCCUAAGGAUGCUGUCGACUUUUUCCACCAACCUUCAUGAAUCGAUGAAAUAUACAGUUUUCUAAGCGUUGCCACUCAAUGUCAAUACAUUUGCAUCAAUUUUAUCUUCAAGUAGUAAGUUUGGCCUAAGAAUGCUGUCGACUCCUUCCACCAACCUUCAUGAAUCGAUCAAUUCUACAGUUUUCUAAGAGUUGCCACUCAAUGUCAAUACAUUUGCAUCAAUUUUAUCUUCAAGUAGUAAGUUUGGCCUAAGAAUGCUGUCGACUCCUUCCACCAACCUUCAUGAAUCGAUCAAUUCUACAGUUUUCUAAGAGUUGCCUCCCAAAGUCAAUACAUUUGCAUUAAUUUUAUCCCAAAGUAGUAAGUUUGGCCUAAGAAUGCUGUCGACUCCUUCCACCAACCUUCAUGAAUCGAGGAAAUAUACAGUUUUCUAAGCGUUGCCACUCAAUGUCAAUACAUUUGCAUCAAUUUUAUCUUCAAGUAGUAAGUUUGGCCUAAGAAUGCUGUCGACUCCUUCCACCAACCUUCAUGAAUCGAUGAAAUAUACAGUUUUCUAAGCGUUGCCACUCAAUGUCAAUACAUUUGCAUCAAUUUUAUCUUCAAGUAGUAAGUUUGGCCUAAGAAUGCUGUCGACUCCUUCCACCAACCUUCAUGAAUCGAUCAAUUCUACAGUUUUCUAAGAGUUGCCUCUCAAAGUCAAUACAUUUGCAUAAAUUUUACCCCUAGGUAGUAAGUUUGGCCUAAGGAUGCUGUCGACUCCUUCCACCAACCUUCAUGAAUCGAUGAAGUAUACAGUUUUCUAAGCGUUGCCACUCAAUGUUAAUACAUUUGCAUAAAUUUUACCCCUAAGUAGUAAGUUUGGCCUAAGAAUGCUGUCGACUCCUUCCACCAACCUUCAUGAAUCGAUCAAUUCUACAGUUUUCUAAGAGUUGCCUCUCAAAGUCAAUACAUUUGCAUUAAUUUUAUCCCAAAGUAGUAAGUUUGGCCUAAGAAUGCUGUCGACUCCUUCCACCAACCUUCAUGAAUCGAUCAAUUCUACAGUUUUCUAAGAGUUGCCUCGCAAAGUCAAUACAUUUGCAUUAAUUUUAUCCCAAAGUAGUAAGUUUGGCCUAAGAAUGCUGUCGACUCCUUCCACCAACCUUCAUGAAUCGAUGAAGUAUACAGUUUUCUAAGCGUUGCCACUCAAUGUUAAUACAUUUGCAUAAAUUUUACCCCUAGGUAGUAAGUUUGGCCUAAGGAUGCUGUCGACUUUUUCCACCAACCUUCAUGAAUCGAUGAAAUAUACAGUUUUCUAAGCGUUGCCACUCAAUGUCAAUACAUUUGCAUCAAUUUUAUCUUCAAGUAGUAAGUUUGGCCUAAGAAUGCUGUCGACUCCUUCCACCAACCUUCAUGAAUCGAUCAAUUCUACAGUUUUCUAAGAGUUGCCUCUCAAAGUCAAUACAUUUGCAUAAAUUUUACCCCUAGGUAGUAAGUUUGGCCUAAGGAUGCUGUCGACUCCUUCCACCAACCUUCAUGAAUCGAUGAAGUAUACAGUUUUCUAAGCGUUGCCACUCAAUGUUAAUACAUUUGCAUAAAUUUUACCCCUAGGUAGUAAGUUUGGCCUAAGGAUGCUGUCGACUUUUUCCACCAACCUUCAUGAAUCGAUCAAUUCUACAGUUUUUUAAGAGUUGCCUCUCAAAGUCAAUACAUUUGCAUAAAUUUUACCCCUAGGUAGUAAGUUUGGCCUAAGGAUGCUGUCGACUUUUUCCACCAACCUUCAUGAAUCGAUGAAAUAUACAGUUUUCUAAGCGUUGCCACUCAAUGUCAAUACAUUUGCAUCAAUUUUAUCUUCAAGUAGUAAGUUUGGCCUAAGAAUGCUGUCGACUCCUUCCACCAACCUUCAUGAAUCGAUCAAUUCUACAGUUUUCUAAGAGUUGCCUCUCAAAGUCAAUACAUUUGCAUUAAUUUUAUCCCAAAGUAGUAAGUUUGGCCUAAGAAUGCUGUCGACUCCUUCCACCAACCUUCAUGAAUCGAUCAAUUCUACAGUUUUCUAAGAGUUGCCUCGCAAAGUCAAUACAUUU